ACACAGAGAUGCACGUCCUGCGGCUGGAGGACAAGCCGGCUCGCUGCUUUCCCCCACGGCUUCACACAGCCUCACUGCCCACCAACACCUGGGACGCUUACCUGCCGCUCUCCCCUCUUGCAGAACAUUUUCCAACUGCUCAAAAUGGAUCAGAACUGAAGUGGCCCAGCAAAAACAAAAGUCGAGUUUUAAAAUCGAUGUACAAGACCCUGUGGAUCACCGAAGGAGGCCAGAGACACCGGAGUAACAAAUCAGCACCUCGAAGUUCAGUCACUGACCAAACGAGGAGCAAAGGGACAGUGUCCGGGCAGGAUUAGGAACCUGGAAAUACCGUGCUAAAUAUAGCUCCCCAGCCUGCGGGACUCGGAAAGGUGGCCAAGAAUAAGUAUCUGGCGCGUUUGGUAAUUUCUGUCACUUCCUGUUACUCACAUCCUGCUGUUCUGAUGUGGCCCAAAACCCUGGAUUCGCCACACACAGAUCCCUACCUUGAAGCCCCGAGACCCGGACUAUUCAAAACAGCUGGGAUGUGCGUCGGCAACAGACUUCCUCACGGAGGGCGAUACCAAACACAAAAA